GUGUUGGCUUCGGCAACACAGAUCUUACAAUUGGAACGGCACAGAUGGGACCAGCAUGGCCCCUGCUCAAGGCAAGUAAAUUCCUGAAGUGUUCCAUGUUUGU